AUUGAACGCUGGCGGCAGGCCUAACACAUGCAAGUCGAGCGAGCGGCGGACGGGUGAGUAAUGUAUGGGGACUGCCCGUUCGAGGGGGAUAACUACUGGAAACGGUGGCUAAUACCGCAUACUCUCGGAUAACCCAUAUGGGAUUGGCUAGUAGGUGGGGUAUAGGCUAACCUAGGCGACGAUAUCUAGCUGGUCUGAGAGGAUGAUCGGCCAAACUGGGACUGAGACACGGCCAAGACUCCUAGGGAGGCAGCAGGGGGGAAUUUUGCACAAGGGGGACAAGCCGGAUACGGACAUGCCGCGUGUAUGAAGAGGGCCUUAGGGUGGUAAAGUACUUUAAGCGGGGCGGCGGUACCCGAAGAAGAAGCACCGGCUAACUCCGUGCCAGCAGCCGCGGUAAUUC
rnacentral:rRNA from 1 species